CCUACGGGUGGCAGCAGUGAGGAAUAUUGGUCAAUGGACGAGAGUCUGAACCAGCCAAGUAGCGUGAAGGAUGACUGCCCUAUGGGUUGUAAACUUCUUUUAUAUGGGAAUAAAACGUUCCACGUGUGGGAUUUUGUAUGUACCAUAUGAAUAAGGAUCGGCUAACUCCGUGCCAGCAGCCGCGGUAAUACGGAGGAUCCGAGUGUUAUCCGGAUUUAUUGGGUUUAAAGGGAGCGUAGGUGGAUUGUUAAGUCAGUUGUGAAAGUUUGCGGCUCAACCGUAAAAUUGCAGUUGAAACUGGCAGUCUUGAGUACAGUAGAGGUGGGCGGAAUUCGUGGUGUAGCGGUGAAAGGCUUAGAUAUCACGAAGAACUCCGAUUGCGAAGGCAGCUCACUGGACUGCAACUGACACUGAGGCUCGAAAGUGUGGGUAUCAAACAGGAUUAGAUACCCUUGUAGUC
rnacentral:rRNA from 1 species